UUGACAUGAAUUGCACUAAAGGACUGCACAAGAACAGAAUCGUACAUACGUGCACGUGUAAACGAAGUGAAUAAUCUGUUAAGAGAGACGGUGACGGUGAGGUUGUAUCAGCAACUUGUGUAUAAAAUGACUAUGGAAUUACUGUCCUCGUGAUGAUCAAGGUGUACUCAAUGUAUAACCAGCUGAUAACCAAGUGACUGAAACAGAAGAGUUUGUAUCUCAUAGUCAUUGCCUCAGUUGACCUGAACUAGAAGAUGUCAAAACAUUUCAGUGAAAUCUCAGGAAAUGAAAUCAUCACAGCUGUCACAAAACAAAGACUGGAGUUCAGAGAAAGAGUUCAACACUUUUGAUAAAAUUAAUGAGGCAGUGACUUUCAUCUUCCAUGAAUCUAUAAACACUUAAGACUACAGUUUUAUCAUGUUUAUGUUUCAGUAUAAGAAACUACUAAACAAAGGGCAGUCGUUGACUACAAAAGAAAACCUGGGUUGACUUGUGAUAUUCUGUGUAACAUGAUUGCCAAAUACCGAGGUUUAAAACUAUUUAAAACAUUUAUUUUUCAUGAAUUCACCUAUGUUUAGAUUUUUUGAAUAUGAAAUCAUUUGGGUAUAAGAUCAAUUUGAAUGGCAAACAAGCAGAUGACUUGGUAAUGAUAGGAUCAUGUAUGAAAAAUAUCACUUAAAUUGUGAAUAUUUACUAGUUAUUGUGUUUUUGGUGUGGAUGGAAAUGUAUAACAAAAAGGAUAACAAAAAAUAAUUAUCUGUGUAUAAAUAAAAAACAAGUUGUAUAUUAUACAAUUAAGUUAGUUCAAUGAUUUAUUUACCUGAAGAGUACAUUAUUCUCUGACCUCAAAAACAGCCUGAGAUAUUUAACAUUUUCAUGUUU